UAAAAUUUUCUUUAACUUGUUGACUCACCUCCGUUUUUGGAUACCUGAUAAUUAUUUUAUUUAAAAACAUAAUCCUACAUAAAUUUGCACUUGAUUUUCUACAAUUUGUUUUCCAUGUGGGAGAAAAGCUAUGCUUUUAAACAUAUUCCAGUGAAAAUCUGCUAAGGCAGUAGACUUCUCAGCAUCUUGCUUCACUAAAUUAUGUCCAAUUUUAGGAGAGAAUGUGUAUGGAGUAGUCAGAACUAUAUCCAAUUAUUUAGUUUAAGCAGAUGUAACAGGUGCUUUGAUCAAAGAAAGCCGCCUUUGCUUUCCUCCAGUUUCACAUCGGUUGUACUUCAAAAAAAAAAAAGGUUUAGUAUUGAUAUAAAUUUCAUAAAGCUGAGGUAUUCAGAUUGAAUGAUAUCUCUUGUUUGUUUGCCUUUCUGUGACAUCAGCUAAGAUCAUCAGAUGUGUAUUCAGCAAUCCCAGUGAGAUGAAUUUUACACCAUGAGAUCUAUUUUAUUUUCCUGUGGCAUACUAUUCUCAUUUUCUUUGAAAUCCAUUGGUGUAUAUAUUUCCGUAAAUAUUUCUAAUUUAAACUCUGCCUUUCAUUGCCAAAAGAUAAUGAGAAGGCCUGUGUUUUACUCACAUGUUUCCUGAUGAUAUUGUGUUAGAAUACUUUAAAAUGCAUCAGGAUGAAUUUUAACUCAAUUGGCUAAAGCAUCAAAGAAUGUAUAUUAUGGACUCAAGAAAAGUUGGUUGCAGGAAAUGAAAGAUGUCAUCAUGAUACAUAGGCUUUCUCCAUCUCUUUUUCCUUUUUUCCUCCACGCUUUGCCCUGGUACCAACAAACUUACAUCUUCUCAGAGAUAUCUUUUCACUUAUAGCUCCUCCCAUGUGCCAGGCAAUGUUGAGCAGCACAAACAUCUCAGAUAUAUUGGUUACUGGGUAAGAAAAAAGAUACGGUAUAUCAAGAUAUCUCUGCUCAGCCUGGUAGCUACCAUAUCCUUUUUUCUUACCGAGUAACCGAUCUUUCAGCUGUUUUACAUAUUGAAUAGUGCUGAAGGAAGACAUCUAUGAUGAAAAGAUAAGGGAAGCUGCAGAAAAAAAUGAAAGUAACUGGGAAGUAAAAUCAAGGAGAGUUGUUUUGACUAGGCUCAUUUUUGCUCGAUGUUCCUUGUGAGGUGUUUAAAAGCCCUUUGCCAUCAGGCUAAGCUGAAUGAAAACUGUUCUUCUCUCCCCGACUCUUUUUCUUUGGCGUCUUACCUCAUCUGACCUUUACUGUACCCCAAAGGAAGUGAAGGAAUAUUUUAUUACAAGUUGAGACUUAGGGCCUGUUUCUGAUAGGAUCAAACACAAAGCAUAAAGACUUUCCGUAUUGUAUAUACUUCAUCAUCAUUCUACGGCACAGCCACAUGACUUCCUAGUCAUUGCUAUAUUCUAAUUUUGUGUCUCCUAUAUUGAGAAAUAAGCGAUAAGACAUAUAGUAAGGUACCUAUAAAGAAGGCACAUUAAAUUGAUACCUACUGCCAAUUUCCUGUGGAGCCCUGUUGAUGACGUGAAAGAGGAUGAGAAGGUAUUGGUAAAUUUCAGAAAACCCAACUCUAACAGCUAGGCAAAAUGAUAUUAGAAACAUACAUGUUCUCACAAUCCUAUUUCAAGUGACAGAAAAAGAAACCCUGUACUUUUUCAAGCAUGAUUUUAAUCAGGUUUUUAAAAAUUUUAGGUUAUGUAUGAUUUAUGUACUAAUACUUUAAGUUUUGCUCAUAUUAAAAAUAUAGAGCAAUGUUUUGGUGUAAAAGUAAAGUAGCUAUUAAAUAGAGAAUGUAUUUUUUUCUUUUUUAUUUUACCUUGCCCUUUUAAGAUUCCCUUAUAUUUAAUUCAGAUUGAACUCCUGUCAUAUGUUUAUUUGAUAGGGUCUGAUUCACAUUAUCUCCCUAGUGAAUGGAGGAACCAAGAGUGAGUGGGGAACUGCAAAACAGAGCUAUUAAAUUUAUAUUUACUGCUAAUCAUUUCAACUCCUGGCAGGCAGCCUAAUUGCAAGCACAAAGAGAAUGCUCAUGAGAAUCAUGGUCAUAUAACUUGUUCAGUGACUUUCACUAAGACACAUGGUUUGUGAAAGCUCCAGGUUUAUUGGGAGAGUAAAUAUUAUUGCAGCUUGAGUUUUCUUGUGCUGUUUCUAACUCAGGAUUUAUGAAAUAUAAUUUAAUGAAAUAUAUAAUUUAAAGAGAUGAGGUAAAAAUGUGAUUACUAUCUUCCCAUCCUGUCCUUUUGGGGCAGGCAGCAAUGCAUAAGGUCUUUAAAAGGCCAAAAACUAAUCUAGGGGUUUUUCUAUGCAUAGUUUCCAUUAAUGUUAAUGACUUUUUCUGGGCACAGUUUCUAUUAAUGUUAAUGAGAUGUUCUCUUGAAGAAAAGGGAUGAAGAAAGAAAAGAAAACUGUUCUCUCUUUAUUUGCUUCAAGUAUUUUCUGAUGUAGGCUUAGAAUAAAUGUCUAAUAAUGAAGUACACUGACUCCAAAGACAGAAAAUUAUUCACCUCCUAUUUUUGCUUCUAUUAUAUCUUACUUGCUUUUUUAAAAUUAUUUUUUCUAUAAAUCUCUAGGGAAUACGAUGACUAUAUCAGUUAUAUUAGCAGUACCAACAUUUUUCUCAACCAAAAAUCCCCAUUACAUUUAGUAUAUUCCAAUAAGAUUUUUAUUUUAUCUGCUGAAUUUUACCUGUACCCACCACUUAAACAGAGUGCAUGUUAUAAUGAUGGAGCAAUAGUUAAAUAUUAAGGGAAGGUGAAUUAUAGUCAGAAA